rnacentral:rRNA from 1 species
UACAGAGGGUGCGAGCGUUAAUCGGAAUUACUGGGCGUAAAGCGUGCGUAGACGGUUAUUUAAGUCGGAUGUGAAAGCCCCGGGCUCAACCUGGGAAUUGCAUUCGAGACUGAAUAGCUAGGGUGCGGUAGAGGGAAGCGGAAUUUCCGGUGUAGCGGUGAAAUGCGUAGAUAUCGGAAGGAACACCGGAGGCGAAAGCGGUGUACUGGGGCUGGUCUGACGCUGAGGCACGAAAGCCAGGGGAGCGAACGGG